rnacentral:rRNA from 1 species
GACGAACCGUGCGAACGUUGUUCGGAAUCACUGGGCUUAAAGGGCGCGUAGGCGGGCUGCCAAGUCCGGGGUGAAAUCCUUCGGCUUAACCGGAGAAUGGCCUUGGAUACUGGCAGUCUUGAGGGAGGUAGGGGCACGCGGAACUUCCGGUGGAGCGGUGAAAUGCGUUGAGAUCGGAAAGAACACCAACGGCGAAAGCACUCUGCUGGGCCGACACUGACACUGGAGAGACGAAAGCUAGGGGAGCGAAUGGG